rnacentral:pre_miRNA from 1 species
AAAGUACUUCCUCCGUUCCGAAUUACUUGUUUUAGAUUUGUCUAAGUAUGAAUGUAUCUAGACACAUUUUAGUGUUAGAUAGAUCCGUAUCUAAACAAAUAUAAGAUAAGUAAUUUGAGACAGAGGUAAUAUGCA